CCAAAUCUUAAACUACUUUAACUAUAAAACUUAAUCUUUUUAUACUUUUAUACUUAUUAUCACUGUAAAAGUGAUGUUUUAUCUGACUCACGUGCAGGGGUGGCGUUUUUCACCUGUGAAUGGGUCAUGGAACUACGAAAAAAACCUUAAAUUGAUUAUUUAAUAAUUUAAUUAGAUUUAAGUUAUUUAUUAACGAAAUCUUUGUUUAGCCUAUGUAAAUUCCGCGUGCUUUAAUGAGCGCGCGCUGAACAUUGGAGUAGCGUUCAUUCAGAUUCAAACACUGGAGCGGAGGGAGUUGCCAUGGAAACGGGGCGACCGACAACACUGGCAAGCUGCAAGCUCCGUUUCUUGCUGCUGUUUUCACUGCUUUCGAAAUGGUGUAGUGUUUUCGAACAAGUCCGUAAGCAUCUUAACCGUUAUCCGAGGAGAUUCUUUCGUGCUUGAUGUUCUUCUGCAUCCCAGAGUCUGAGCAAACCUCCUGUCCAACAACAUCUCCAAGACACACUGAACCAUACGGCUAGCAGGUUAACCCCAGACAUACACUAAUGCUCAAAAUUCAGAUUUUAUGUUUUUGAAAAUAAGUCUUUUAUGCUUACCAAUUUCUGGGGAAAAAAAGCAGAUAAAAAAAGUGAAAUCAAUAAUAUUGUGAAAUAAUAUUACAAUUUAAAAUAGCAGUUUUCUGUGAAAUGUAAUUUAUUUCUGUGAUCAAAGUAAAAAAAAUUGGCAUCAUUACUCCAGUCUUCAGUGUCACAUGAUCUUCAGAAAUCAUUCUAAUAUGCUGAUUUGCUGCUCAAGAAACAAAUUGACCCUUCACAAAAACCCACCCUCCUUAAAUACUGUUGCUAUGUCCGACAAGACAAGCCAUGCUGCUCUCACAGUACACACCUUGUUCUCACACAGCGACAAACACAUCGUGGACCAAAGAGGAAACUGACAACACACAGACAGACAAGACAGAGAUAGUUACUUCUGCCUCGCGUGUGAAGACUUCAGAAGAUGCCAGACCUCACAAAGAUUUCAGAUGAUGGCAACUAUAGAUGAACUUGCAAAGCUGCUUAAUAAUCCUUAUAUUGUAAUCAUUGCCCUAAAAGGACGGAUCUUAUCAGCAAAUCUACUUCACAGCACAUCAGUGAAAACAGUUGACAGUUACAGACGGGUGUGUUGGAUCAGGUUCAGAUCUGAAUUCUGAUGGUUUUCUGGGAUGACAGUUGAAGAGAUCAGCACAUCAGAUGUUGGUCUGGACAGCUGUACCUACAGUACACCACAGUGACCUCUCUGCUUUUGCAUGGAUGGCUGACUACUACCAUGUUCUGUGAAGGUAUUAUUAUAGCAAACCUGAGCACCUGUGACAGUGGAAUAGUUGUAAUGAAUAGUCACACAUGCAUAUUGGUAAAUUUAAAGUCACAGAUAAUUUUUUUUAGUACUAGCAAUAUUUUUAUUUUAAAUUUUUUACUAAUUCUCUCCAGCAAACACAACACAACAGUUACACCAUUUCAAAUUCUGAGGUGCACAAAUCCUAUUCUACAAAUAAGAGAACAACAGUAUAAAAGUGCUCAGUUUAGCCCCUUUCACACUGAGAUUCCAGAUGAUACACGGGUAAUUGUUCCCGGAUCGUUAGAUUUUGGUUCAUUCACACUGCCAGUGAGUGCGUUCACACACAACCGGUAAAGGUCCCAUAAUGAUACGAGACAUCAGGAUGUGAUGUGUAAUGUACGAGUUGAAAACGCUAGGCCGCCAAAAAACGGAAGAAGGAGAAGAAGCAAACCAGAAGUGUUUUCAAUACUUUAUAAACAUGGCAGCUGAUCAGCUACUGGGGCCAUUGUUGUUUAUGUAUAAAGCAUCUUCCACACAGAAAUUCCGGAAAAUACACCAAUAAUGUGUUCCAGGAUCCUCUAAUUGUGGUUCAUUCACACUGCCAGUAAUUUUCUGGAAUCUGUGUGUGCGUUCACACACAACCCAUAAAGAUCCCGUAAAGACACGUGACAUUACGAUGUGACGUGUUUUGUUUCACUUAAACUGGUGAACGAUCUCAGCUUCAGCACGGAUAGUGAGGAACUAACUGAUCUCUGCUUCAUUACAAUUUGCACAUUUUUUUCGUCACGAAUGUUGAUCUGCCUUCAAAACACCUGCUAAAAGAGUCGCAUGAUAACGUGCGUCAUCACUACGACACAUCCUUUACGCCAUUGGUUCUGGCUUUUGUUCACACAGAGCUCGUUCUAGGUAAGGUAAGUGCUAGUAUCAGUGGUGGAGGUGCUGAGGAAAAAAAAAAAAAGAGGUGUCUUUAAGAGGUGUUUUUGGAAAAUGGCUGAAGACUCAGAUGCUCGAAUUGAGAAAGGCAGGUCAUUCUACCAUGAUCUUAUCUACAAAUACUACUGUUCUCAUAAAGUCUGUAAAUAUGUCCAGUUCUAAUAAACACACAUUUCAGGAAAAAAUAAUUCAAUAAUAUGACCAAAAUGAAAUACAGCCCUGCAUAAAUCUGGUAUAACUGAGUCUGUGAAUUUCUUAAUUUGUGAUUUGUAGAAUAGGAUUUAUGCACCUGCAAUGAAGAUUUUGAGAAGGUUUUGUUGUGUUUGUGAGAGAGAAAGAAACAAAAUACAAGCUUGUAACUCCAAAAACAUUUUCUUGAUAACUUUACUGAAAUAUUCUCUACAAAUACAAAUUCCACUGUCACAGGUGCUCAAUUUUGUUACAAUAAUGUACAAAGUGUCUCAAAUGUACUAUAGAUGUACUGUAUGCAAAUAAAACAAAGGGACAUUAACAACUGAAUAUUCAGGGGAUGGAAACUUAUCACCUUUAAGUAAAAUUGAAUUUUGAAUCUAAAUAUCAUUUGCAUGAUUUGUGUAGAUCCAAAAGAGUUUUUAAAAGUGCAUUAGUUAAAUAGCACAUGCUAAAUAGCACAAGGCAUAUUUUACAUGUUAUUUACAUAAUAAAAAGAUAAGGGAAACAUGUUUUACAUCAAGUGUUGCCAUUUUAUAUGAAAAUAUACAAAAGAUAAUAUUUUUGAGGCACAUGAUAAAAAAAUUACCCCCAAACUUGAGGGAAAUGUAAUAAUGGAGUGAUGGUUAAUGUAUAAAAAAAGCAACUAAAAACUAACUUUAUUGUCUUAUUUGUCUGUCUGCUGAUAUUUAAUUGUGGGUUACAUCGUCACCUUUUUCAAACCUGACCUGAAUAGUUCACAUCCCUGAUAUUACAAAGAACUUAAGUUUUAAUUGGUAAUAACAUUUUUAUUCAGUGAAUAUGGUUUUUAAUUUGUUACUUGACACUAUUUAUAUUAGCCUAUAAUAUACUUUAUACCUUUAUACCUCUUUGUGUGUGUAUUUGUGUGUAAAUGCAUUUUCUUUGCUAGACAUAGAAGGUUUGUGCUCUAAACAUGUAUUUGUAACAGUGUUUAAACUGUAUUCGUAUUGUAUAAAUAAUAAAGAAAUUAUGACUGAAUGUGA
ensembl:lncRNA